rnacentral:rRNA from 1 species
ACGCUCGACACCUAUGGAGGCAGCAGUGGGGAAUAUUGCACAAUGGGGGAAACCCUGAUGCAGCGACGCCGCGUGAGCGAAGAAGUAUCUCGGUAUGUAAAGCUCUAUCAGCAGGGAAGAAAAUGACGGUACCUGACUAAGAAGCCCCGGCUAACUACGUGCCAACAGCCGCGGUAAUCUGAGCGGGCUGGCAAGGC